GACCUCCGGCAACGGAUAUCUCGGCUCUCGCAUCGGCAUGAAGAACGUAGCGAACGAUGCGAUCCUUGGGUGGUGAAUUGCAGAAUCCCGUGAAUCCAUACGAGUCUUUGAACGCAAGUUGCGCCCGAAGCCGUUAGGCCGAGGGCACGUCUGCCUGGGCGUCA
rnacentral:rRNA from 1 species